UGAUCUUCUAGAACAGGAUUAGGUGUCUUUCCUAUGUACUUCCACUGUCCUUACCUCCAUCAGAAUUCUGUUUACUGUGUUGCAGAUAAUUUUUUAUGCAGCUAUCUUCCUAAUCAAACUGGGAAGGCAGAUUUUUUUCAAGAUUUCAUGGUUAUAGCCUGGCAUUUACAUAGUAGGUGCUCAGUAAAUGUUUGUUGAAUAUUUGAAUAAACUAUAUAACUUCUUCCCACACAAUUACUAGCAUUGUUUACUUGGGUAAUUUUAAGAAAGUAUUUUUCACUUUGGUCUGAUAUAAAUUUUUGUCUUUCUCAGUAGAGUUAAGUGUGAACCCCUGUGGCAGAAAUGAAGGCACUGUUCGUAUACCACCUCAGCCUCUCCUCUGGACUACUGAGAAUUUAAAUUUCAGAGACAAAAAAAAUCUCUCAGUUCUGGAUCAUAGCAUUUACUUCUGAGGUAUGGCUGUUUUUGAGUGUCAGUGGAAGACUCUGAAGUUUCAAAUACCAAGGCUCUUUACAUUGUUGGGACCCAAUUUGUUCUCCUCUAUGUUCCAGAUGAGCACACCUUCCAGUCCGUCUGCUGCCAACACCACCUACAGGGGUCCCACAGUAGCCAUUUUCAUUGGGCUAAACAGCAUAAAGAGGCUAUUGUUGGAGAGCAGAUGCAGGAAAAGAUUUUGCCAAAUGGGAUAUUCUAAGGUGAGCAGGUUUUCACAAAUGGAGCAUUAAUCACAAUCCUCUGAUACUACCAAUUAUGGAAGCAGACCAAGAAUAAACCUGCAAAUGAGAAGAGCCCUUUCCUCCCUUCUUAAAUUAAGAAGGCAAACAUAUUGGAAAUGCAAAAGGAAAACAGAUUUGCUGAAAGAUAGACAUCUAGAGCAGAAAAAACUUCACUUUUUAAAAAAUAAUAAUAAACAUUUUCUUAUUUUUUUUUUAACUGGAUGAAUUGUCAGCAUAAAUGCCUUUGAAGGUAUAACUGCAUUAAUUUGUUACCUUAUAUAUAUUUAUUUUAUGGCAUUAUGUAGCACCUUGCUAUCUAAAGUCCAGUUCUAUGAACUAGUAACAUCAGAAUUAUUGAGAGCUUGUUAAAAAUGCAGAAUUGCUAAAGAUUCACUUGGCUAUUUGGUUUUUU